rnacentral:rRNA from 1 species
AUUGAACGCUGGCGGCAGGCCUAACACAUGCAAGUCGAACGAGUGGCGGACGGGUGAGUAAUGUCUGGGAAACUGCCCGAUGGAGGGGGAUAACUACUGGAAACGGUAGCUAAUACCCCAUACCCUCCGAUGUGCCCAGGUGGGAUUGGCGAGUUGGUGGGGUAACGGCUCACCAAGGCGACGAUCCCUAGCUGGUCUGAGAGGAUGACGGGCAACACGGGAACUGAGACACGGUCAGUCUUCCUCCGGGAGGCAGCAGUGGGAAAUAUUGGACAAGGGGGUAAAGCCUGAUGCAGACAUGCCGCGUGUAUGAAGAAGGCUUUCGGGUUGUAAAGUACUUUCAGCGGGGAGGCGUUACCCGCAGAAGAAGCACCGGCUAACUCCGUGCCAGCAGCCGCGGUAAUUC